UACGGAGGUUCCAAGCGUUGUUCGGAAUUACUGGGCGUAAAGGGAGCGCAGGCGGACGGGUCAGUUCAAAGUGGAAUCCCAGGGCUCAACCCUGGACGUGCUUUGGAUACUGCCUGUCUUGAGUUCGUGAGAGGAAAGUGGAAUUCAGGGUGUAGCGGUGAAAUGCUUAGAUAUCCUGAGGAACACCAGUGGCGAAAGCGACUUUCUGGCACGAAACUGACGCUGAGGCUCGAAAGCAUGGGUAGCGAACGGG
rnacentral:rRNA from 2 species